GGAAGGAUGGCCGAGCGGCUUAAGGCGCACGCUUGGAAAGCGUGUGUACGUUAAUAGCGUACCGUGGGUUCGAAUCCCACUCCUUCCGCCA
rnacentral:tRNA from 1 species